CCAGCUGCGAGUCGUCCAGUUGGUUACGUUCUCAAGCAGAGGCAGGUCGCAGCUCGCUAAUGGUGUCAGACCCGCUUCCCAGCUCUCCAGAACAGUGUGUGGAAAAUUGAAUUGAAAAAGAGUGGUUAGAUGAGACUAUAGUCUUCUGCAAGAGGCUUCAGGCAACUGCAAUAGGUUACAAGUCUAGAAGAAGGCAACAGGCUUCUCCAAGAUGCUACGGUGAACUGCAGGAAGAUACAGUCUACUAUAAUAUGUUACAUUCUGUUACGAACGCUCCUCGCUAACCCAUCAGAAUGAACAAGGCGGACCAGGUGAGACUGGGCCUGCUGCUGUGUGUGUGGACAGGAACCUUCCUCUUCUUCUUCGACAACUCCACCGACAUCCGCAGGCCCUGUGGCUUCAGGUGCUCUGAGGGCAACGAGACCCGAUCUCUGAUCAACACUCCCGGCUGCGUCAUACCUGAUUUUCCUUGGCAAGAGGUCAUCAGUUAUGAGCACACGGCAUUUAAGAGCUACGAGUGCUCCAAGCAGCCCCAGCUCACAGAGGAGCAAGGUCAACACCUUGUGUUCUACAAGGACCGGAUCGCUUACUACAAACUGACCUACGACGCUGUAAAUUGCACCUACCAGGCUAUCGGGCAGGAUUAUGGGAAACCUUCACUGCAAGAGAUGGUUGCCAUAGUGAAGGAACGGACACCAAUAGUUGACGAAGGAAUACUGGUGACUUGUGUCAACAACACAGGCGGUAACAACACUAUUUUCUACCAGACUGUCCACACCUUCGUGCAGCCCAGAACGGCCAGGAGGAAGAGAGAAAUGUUCAAGGAGAAGUUUGGAAGCCGCAGUGAUCACCCGGAGAAGCUGAGUGUGUUGGUGCUGGGCACGGACGCCGUGUCUCGCUACAACGCCAUCCGCCACAUGCCCAACACCUACCACUACGUCACGGAGCAGCUCGGAGCCCUCGACUUUCGUGGCUACAACAAAAUAGGUGACAAUACAAUAACAAACAUCUACGCAUCAGUGUUUGGCCACACCGAAAACGAGUUAAGUAAACAUGAGUGCUUACAAAACACUUCCUUUUUGGACAACUGUUCGAUUGUAUGGAAAGCUUUUGGCGAUGAAGGAUAUUUAACUGCUUUCGGAGAAGACGUAGUUCCAGGGGGGAUUUUUGACUCUGCUCACAAUGGAUUUGUAGACCAGCCUGUCGACUUGUCUCUCCGGAAUGCAUUCAUAGUGGCCGGGAUGAAAGAAGCACGCGGGUUUAAGCCCUCUAAGCGUUUAAUCGAUACUUUGUGUGAGGGACCAAUCAUGAGGAUAUCGCUAAUCCACAACUACUCGUUGGCCGUAGCCGAGGAGUUCCAGGACGUGCCUUAUUUUGGAUUUUACCGGAGUUCAACUGUGACUCAUGACUCAUUUACGAUGCCAUGGGUCGUCGACGAUCACUUACUGAGCUUGAUGACUCAGUUCCAGGACAAUGGCUAUCUCAACCACACCGUCGUCCUCCUCGUCAGCGACCAUGGCCAUCGCUAUGGUCCCUUCCGUAACACAUACAUGGGCCAGAUAGAUGAGAGAUUACCCUUCUUGUUCGCUGUCUUCCCUCCGUGGUUCAAGAAGGUCUACCCUGUGGCCUGGGAGAACCUGGUCACCAACACUAGACGACUGAUCUCCAACCUGGACAUCCACGAGACACUUCACAGUCUGGCCUCGGGGGACUUCGCCACCAACACAAAACGGUCCAAAAAGCCUGGAAGAGGCCAAAGCUUGUUCGAAGAAGUCCCGGAAUCACGGACUUGUGCCGAUGUAAACAUUCCGGAUAACUUGUGUACGUGUGAGAAGUCCGACCCAGUAAGUAUAGAGGACCCCGCCGUCACGGCUGCAACUCACGCGGCUAUUUGGGAAAUUAAUCUGAGCCUCAAGAGAUUUCCAAAAUGUGCCUUCCUGAUGCUGGACAAGGUCCUGAAUGCCCGUCAGAUGGUUCCUAAGAACUUUACACACCCACAGUCAGAGGCGCACAACGCCACCACUUAUAUACUGGAGUUUCAGACUUGGCCAGGCGGGGCGAUGCUGGAGGCGAUGGUGAGGAAGCAGCACAAGAAGUUCACGCUGGUGGGCGAGGCGCUGAGGACCAACAGCUACGGCGACCAGAGCCACUGUUUCAACCGCUCUACCCUCAGGAAGUACUGCUUCUGUAAAGACCUUCUCCAGUCACAAGACACCAGCGUCGUCGGCCACAACGCCACCCUCGCCUACACCAGGAACAAUGCCAGUCAUGCUGAUUAAGCUUUUGUAACUCAUACAAGGGAAGCUAACUCCUCAGCUCACACAAAGGAAGGCAGCGACUCAGCUCUCACAAAGGAAGGCAGCGACUCAGCUCUCACAAAAGCAGCUCACAAGUAUAUCCACAAACGCAUGUGACUAUACCUGCUU
rnacentral:misc_RNA from 1 species